AUUGAACGCUGGCGGCAGGCCUAACACAUGCAAGUCGAGCGAGCGGCGGACGGGUGAGUAAUGUAUGGGGACUGCCCGAUAGAGGGGGAUAACUACUGGAAACGGUGGCUAAUUCCGCAUACUAUCGGAUAACCCAUAUGGGAUUUGCUAGUAGGUGGGGUAAAGGCUAACCUAGGCGACGAUCUCUAGCUGGUCUGAGAGGAUGAUCGGCCACACUGGUACUGAGAAAGGGCCCAGACUCCUAGGGAGGAAGAAGUGGGGAAUAUUGCAAAAUGGGCGAAAGCCGGAUGCAGACAUGCCGCGUGUAUGAAGAAGGCCUUAGGGUUGUAAAGUACUUUCAGCGGGGAGGCGUUACCCGAAGAAGAAGCACCGGCUAACUCCGUGCCAGCAGCCGCGGUAAUAC
rnacentral:rRNA from 1 species